ACCCCGGUAGUCCUGCCAUAACGAUGUCCACUAGAUCGGUGAACUCUGACAGUGUGCCGGUCGAAACAAAAGCGUUAAGUGGACCGCUGGGGAGUACGGUCGCAAGGCUAAAACUCAAAGGAAUUGACGGGGGCUCACACAAGCGGUGGAGCAUGUUGCUUAAUUCGAUGCAACGCGAAGAACCUUAUCCUGGGCUUGACAUGCUUGGAUGCCCAUCUGGAAACAGAGUAGGCUGCCCUUCGGGGUGAAACUUGCACAGGUGCUGCAUGGCUGUCGUCAGCUCGUGUCGUGAGAUGUUGGGUUAAGUCCCGUAACGAGCGAAACCCUUGUCGUUAGUUGCCAGCGCGUAAUGGCGGGGACUCUAGCGAGACUGCCGGUGUUAAACCGGAGGAAGGUGGGGAUGACGUCAAGUCCUCAUGGCCUUUAUGCCCAGGGCUGCAAACGUGCUACAAUGGCGAGGACAAACCGACGCAAAGCCGCGAGGUCGAGCAAAUCGGAGAAACCUUGCCCCAGUUCGGAUUGGAGUCUGCAACUCGACUCCAUGAAGUCGGGAUCGCUAGUAAUCGCGUAUCAGCGUGACGCGGUGAAUAUGUUCCUGAGCCUUGUACACACCGCCCGUCAAGUCAUGGAAGCUGGGAGCGCCCGAAGUCGGGGUAAUUCAACCCUGCCUAAGGUGAGCUCGGUGACUGGGACUAAGUCGUAACAAGGUAACCAAGGGCGAA
rnacentral:rRNA from 1 species